CUCAUAUGUCCAAUCAUGUUGAGGUUCCACAGUUCAAGUGUGAGGUCUGCUCGAAAAUGUUCAAAGCAAAACUGCAUCUGCGGUAUCAUAUGCGAACGCACACAGGCGAGCGUCCGUACAAGUGCCGAUAUUGCGACCAUGCUUUGCGAACAAUACCAAUUACAGAAGACAUGAAAUGACUCACACUGGAAAUAAACCGCACAAAUGCUCUUAUUGUGGAAAAGGAUUCAUUUUAAGGAGAAUGCUGAUAGAACAUGAGAAAAAUCACA